GAUGAACGCUGGCGGCGUGCCUAAUACAUGCAAGUCGAGCGAACAGAUAAGGAGCUUGCUCCUUUGACGUUAGCGGCGGACGGGUGAGUAACACGUGGGUAACUUACCUAUAAGACUGGAAUAACUCCGGGAAACCGGGGCUAAUGCCGGAUAACAUGUUGAACCGCAUGGUUCUACAGUGAAAGGCGGCUUUGCUGUCACUUAUAGAUGGACCCGCGCCGUAUUAGCUAGUUGGUGAGGUAACGGCUCACCAAGGCAACGAUACGUAGCCGACCUGAGAGGGUGAUCGGCCACACUGGAACUGAGACACGGUCCAGACUCCUACGGGAGGCAGCAGUAGGGAAUCUUCCGCAAAGGGCGAAAGCCUGACGGAGCAACGCCGCGUGAGUGAUGAAGGUCUUCGGAUCGUAAAACUCUGUUAUUAGGGAAGAACAACUGCGUAAGUAACUGUGCGCGUCUUGACGGUACCUAAUCAGAAAGCCACGGCUAACUACGUG
rnacentral:rRNA from 1 species